rnacentral:rRNA from 1 species
UACGUAGGGGGCAAGCGUUGUCCGGAAUCAUUGGGCGUAAAGAGCGUGUAGGCGGCUUCGUCAGUCCGUUGUGAAAGUCCAGGGCUCAACCCUGGAAUGCCGAUGGAUACUGCGGAGCUAGAGUCCGGAAGAGGCGAGUGGAAUUCCUGGUGUAGCGGUGAAAUGCGUAGAUAUACGGAGGAACACCUGCGGCGAAGGCGGAUUGCUGGGCCAACACUGACGCUGAGGCGCGAAAGCUAGGGUAGCAAACGGG